rnacentral:lncRNA from 1 species
ACCUAUAAUUUUUUAUCUCCACCGGAGCUAGCCGGAGAAGACGGUGGCGCUGGCCACCGUCUGAUCUCCAGAUCCAAUCGUGGUCGUCCAUAUUUAUUUCCAGAUCUAAUCUCAGUAGUCCAAACUUAUGACUUAUUUUAAUUCAGCGUGUGGUGGCAUUCACUUUGGUACACGUUGGACGCGCGCUUAUGGAUGCUUUGAUCUGCCAGCUCAAUUAAUGAGCUAAGAUCCAAGGGCUCACGCUUUUCCAUUUAUUUUAAUUCUGAUUUUUAUUUCCAUUUUAUUUUUUUAUUCUAUUUCAUUUUCUAAAAAUUCAUAUCUCUUUUAUUAUUGGUCCAAAAAUUAUGGGACCAAUUGCAUUAUUUCUCUUUAAUUUUCUAGUUUCUAAAAAUGAUUUUUAAUAUUUUUUAUUUUGUGAUUUGCUAUUUUUUAGUAAUUUUCUCUUUUCUGGUUAUUUUUAAUUCAUUUUAAAUAGUUUUUGAUAUUCAAAAAAUACAAAAAUAUUUUCUCAACCUUUU